rnacentral:rRNA from 1 species
AGGAUCUGACUCUAGUACGAGAGGACCGAGUUGGACAUACCUCUGGUGUACCAGUUGUUGUGCCAACAGCAUAGCUGGGUAGCUAAGUAUGGAUAGGAUAAUUACUGAAAGCAUCUAAGUAAGAAACCUUCCUUAAGAUUAGAUUUCCCUAUUAGGGCCGUGAAAGACUAUCACGUUGAUAGGCUGGGUGUGUAAGUAUG